GUCUAUGGCCAUUCCACCCUGAACACGCACCUGAUCUCGGAAGCUAAGCAGGGUCUGGCCUGGUUAGUACUUAGAUGCGAGACAGCCUGGAAAUACCGGGUGCUGCAGGCU
ensembl:rRNA 5S_rRNA 5S ribosomal RNA